CCGUUUAGGAAUAAAACUAAGAAGCGAUAGCAUUAGCCUACAGUCAAAUGCUUCGGUUAUCUGACAGACUGGUGGGCUUGUUAGCUAUGUUGAUAAAAUACCAAACGGCUAUAUUUCAUGUGCGUACAUUAAUAUACGAACAUGAAACACAAGAAUUUUUAACAAUUUUCUAAUAUAUAAGUCGCAUUUAUGGCUGUUCGUCUAAGAAGUUCACUUUGCAACCGCGAGGUUUAGGACUUAUUUCCAGUGCGUAGCAUAUUGGAUAAGAGUUUUCUACUAAAGCCCCGGGUUGACCAAUGCCUUGUGAAUGAAUUUGGUGGACGAAACUUUACUCACCGUCGUAUUUGUGUGUGCGCUUGUGCUCCCUCCACUGUACUCUUUCUAAAAGGCCGAGAGACAACAUUAUGGUUCCCAAUAUUCUCUCGAUAUAUGUGUAAGAAUAGAAAUGUAAGCAUUGUGUGAAAUGACCAAGCUAUCUACCUGGAAAUCUAAGCCGAGAAUCUUCAGAGGCUGUGAGAAACCAUCAUAAGAGAUGCAAAACUAUGUGUUCAGCUUACUCAUUCUCGGAUAAAGAACUCAGGCAAUUUCCAGAUUCGAUUCCUCCGGAUGACUUCCUGAACAAGUUUCAUUGAGUUCAAUUUGUUAGAAGAAAACUUCGCAGAGGCCUCCGUUGACUACCACUACUACGAAUACUGCUGCUGAUGUUACUAUAACUCCUUCUGAUGCUACUACAACAACUAUUACUGCUUUUGCUACUACCACUACUACUACUUUAAUUCCAAUGUCUACUACUACUACUACU
rnacentral:lncRNA from 1 species